GUUUGAUCCUGGCUCAGGAUGAACGCUAGCGGCAGGCUUAACACAUGCAAGUCGAGGGGCAGCAUGUCCAGCAAUGGAUGAUGGCGACCGGCGGAAGGGUGCGUAACGCGUGAGCAACAUGCCCUAUACAGGGAGAUACACCAGGGAAACUUGGUCUAAUAUCCCAUAGCAUUCAUUGAAGGCAUCUUUAAUGAAUUAAAGCUUCGGUGGUAUAGGAUUGGCUCGCGUGACAUUAGCCAGAUGGUGAGGUAACGGCUCACCAUAGCAAUGAUGUCUAGGGGUUUUGAGAGGAAGGCCCCCCACACUGGGACUGAGACACGGCCCAGACUCCUACGGGAGGCAGCAGUGAGGAAUAUUGGACAAUGGAUGGAAAUCUGAUCCAGCCAUGCCGCGUGCAGGAAGACGGCCUUAUGGGUUGUAAACUGCUUUUAUACGGGAGCAAUAAGGGUUACGAGUAAUCCGAUGAGAGUACUGUAUGAAUAAGGAUCGGCUAACUCCGUGCCAGCAGCCGCGGUAAUACGGAGGAUCCGAGCGUUAUCCGGAAUUAUUGGGUUUAAAGGGUGCGUAGGCGGCCAUUUAAGUCAGCGGUGAAAUUUUGCAGCUUAACUGUAACAGUGCCGUUGAUACUGUUUGGCUAGGAUUUGGUUGUAGUGUGCGGAAUGUGUGGUGUAGCGGUGAAAUGCUUAGAUAUCACACAGAACACCGAUUGCGAAGGCAGCACACUAAGUCAUUAUUGACGCUGAGGCACGAAAGUGUGGGGAUCAAACAGGAUUAGAUACCCUGGUAGUCCACACUGUAAACGAUGAUAACUCGCUGUCGGCGAUACACAGUCGGUGGCCAAGCGAAAGCAUUAAGUUAUCCACCUGGGGAGUACGACCGCAAGGUUGAACUCAAAAGAAUUGACGGGGGCCGCACAAGCGAAGAAACUGUGGUUUAUUUGAUGAUACGCCAGGAACCUUACCCGGGUCGAAACGGGAAUGAAUAUACAAAAAAUUUUUAAGUCCUCCGGAAAUG
rnacentral:rRNA from 1 species